GAGGGGAUAGCUCAGUGGCAGAGCAUGUGCUUAAUAUGCACGAAGUCCUGGGUUCAAUCCCCAGUACCUUCA